UACAGAGGUCUCAAGCGUUGUUCGGAAUCACUGGGCGUAAAGGGUGCGUAGGCGGCGGAGUAAGUCGGGUGUGAAAUUUGAAGGCUCAACCUUCAACUAGCACCUGAUACUGCUUUGCUUGAGGUCUGAAGAGGAGCUUGGAAUUCUCGGUGUAGCAGUGAAAUGCGUAGAUUUCGAGAAGAACGCUCGCAGCGAAAGCGAAGCUCUGGUCAGAUUCUGACGCUGAGGCACGAAGGCUAGGGGAGCAAACAGG
rnacentral:rRNA from 1 species